rnacentral:rRNA from 1 species
ACAGGUGGUGCAUGGUUGUCGUCAGCUCGUGUCGUGAGAUGUUGGGUUAAGUCCCGGCAACCGAGCGCAACCCCUACGUUAGUUGCUAACGCGUGAAGGCGAGCACGUCUAGACGAACUGCCGUUGACAAAACGGAGGAAGGUGGGAUGACGUCAAAUCAUCAUGCCCCUUAUGUUCUGGGCUACACACGUGCUACAAUGGCCGGUACAGACGGAGGCGAAGCCGCGAGGCGGAGCAAAUCCGAAAAAGACCGGUCUCAGUUCGGAUUGCAGGCUGCAAUUCGCCUGCAUGAAGUCGGAAUCGCUAGUAAUCGCAGGUCAGCAUACUGCGGUGAAUACGUUCCCGGGCCUU